rnacentral:rRNA from 1 species
GACGGGGGAUGCAAGCGUUGUCCGGAAUCACUGGGCGUAAAGCGUCUGUAGGUGGUGAUGCAAGUCACUGGUGCAAAACUCUGGCUCAACCGGAGGAAAGCCAGUGAAACUGCAUGACUAGAGUGUGGGAGAGGUAGAAGGAAUUCCCUGAGUAGCGGUGAAAUGCGUAGAUACAGGGAAGAACACCGGAGGCGAAAGAGUUCUACUGGAACACAACUGACAAUGAGAGACGAAAGCUAGGGGAGCGAAUGGG